UCUCCGUUGGUGAACCAGCGGAGGGAUCAUUACCGAGUUUACAACUCCCAAACCCAAUGUGAACCAUACCAAACUGUUGCCUCGGCGGGGUCACGCCCCGGGUGCGUCGCAGCCCCGGAACCAGGCGCCCGUCGGAGGGACCAACCAAACUCUUUCUGUAGUCCCCUCGCGGACGUUAUUUUUACAGCUCUGAGCAAAAAUUCAAAAUGAAUCAAAACUUUCAACAACGGAUCUCUUGGUUCUG
rnacentral:misc_RNA from 1 species